rnacentral:rRNA from 1 species
UUUAUGGAGAGUUUGAUCCUGGCUCAGGAUGAACGCUGGCGGCGUGCCUAAUACAUGCAAGUCGAGCGAACGGACGAGAAGCUUGCUUCUCUGAUGUUAGCGGCGGACGGGUGAGUAACACGUGGAUAACCUACCUAUAAGACUGGGAUAACUUCGGGAAACCGGAGCUAAUACCGGAUAAUAUUUUGAACCGCAUGGUUCAAAAGUGAAAGACGGUCUUGCUGUCACUUAUAGAUGGAUCCGCGCUGCAUUAGCUAGUUGGUAAGGUAACGGCUUACCAAGGCAACGAUGCAUAGCCGACCUGAGAGGGUGAUCGGCCACACUGGAACUGAGACACGGUCCAGACUCCUACGGGAGGCAGCAGUAGGGAAUCUUCCGCAAUGGGCGAAAGCCUGACGGAGCAACGCCGCGUGAGUGAUGAAGGUCUUCGGAUCGUAAAACUCUGUUAUUAGGGAAGAACAUAUGUGUAAGUAACUGUGCACAUCUUGACGGUACCUAAUCAGAAAGCCACGGCUAACUACGUGCCAGCAGCCGCGGUAAUACGUAGGUGGCAAGCGUUAUCCGGAAUUAUUGGGCGUAAAGCGCGCGUAGGCGGUUUUUUAAGUCUGAUGUGAAAGCCCACGGCUCAACCGUGGAGGGUCAUUGGAAACUGGAAAACUUGAGUGCAGAAGAGGAAAGUGGAAUUCCAUGUGUAGCGGUGAAAUGCGCAGAGAUA